AACGAACGCUGGCGGUGUGCCUAACACAUGCAAGUCGCGCGAGAAAAGGGGGGCAACUCCCUGAGUAAAGCGGCGCACGGGUGAGUAACACGUAGGUAACCUACCUCCGAGCCUGGGAUAACCUACCGAAAGGUGGGCUAAUACCGGAUAUGACCACGGGAGUUUCGGUUUCUGUGGUGAAAGGUGGCCUCUGCUUGCACGCUACCACUCAGAGAUGGGCCUGCGCGCCAUUAGCUAGUUGGCGGGGUAAUGGCCCACCAAGGCGAUGAUGGCUAGCUGGUCUGAGAGGAUGACCAGCCACACUGGGACUGGAACACGGCCCAGACUCCUACGGGAGGCAGCAGUGGGGGAUAUUGCGCAAUGGGCGAAAGCCUGACGCAGCGACGCCGCGUGGGUGAUGAAGGCCUUCGGGUCGUAAAGCCCUGUCGAGGGGAACGAAACGAUCUCGACCCAACACGUCGAGGUCCUGACGGUACCCCUAAAGGAAGCACCGGCUAACUCCGUGCCAGCAGCCGCCGUAACAC
rnacentral:rRNA from 1 species